AUUGAACGCUGGCGGAAUGCUUUACACAUGCAAGUCGGAACGGUAGAGAGGGCAACNCCUUGAGAGUGGCGAACGGGUGAGUAAUAUAUCGGAACGUGUCCAGUCGUGGGGGAUAACGUAGUGAAAAUUACGCUAAUACCGCAUACGAUCUAAGGAUGAAAGCGGGGGAUCGCAAGACCUCGCGCGACUGGAGCGGCCGAUAUCAGAUUAGGUAGUUGGUAGGGUAAAGGCCUACCAAGCCAACGAUCUGUAGCUGGUCUGAGAGGACGACCAGCCACACUGGAACUGAGACACGGUCCAGACGCCUACGGGAGGCAGCAGUGGGGAAUUUUGGACAAUGGGCGAAAGCCUGAUCCAGCCAUUCCGCGUGCAGGAUGAAGGCCCUCGGGUUAUAAACUGAUUUUGUACAGAACGAAAAGGUUUCUAUUAAUACUAGGAGCUCAUGACGGU
rnacentral:rRNA from 1 species